rnacentral:rRNA from 1 species
ACGGGAGGCAGCAGUGGGGAAUAUUGGACAAUGGGCGCAAGCCUGAUCCAGCAAUGCCGCGUGAGUGAUGAAGGCCUUCGGGUUGUAAAGCUCUUUCGCACGCGACGAUGAUGACGGUAGCGUGAGAAGAAGCCCCGGCUAACUUCGUGCCAGCAGCCGCGGUAAUACGAAGGGGGCGAGCGUUGUUCGGAAUUACUGGGCGUAAAGGGCGCGUAGGCGGUGUGCCAAGUCAGGCGUGAAAGCCCCGGGCUCAACCUGGGAACGGCGCUUGAGACUGGCACGCUCGAGUUCGGGAGAGGAUGGUGGAAUUCCCAGUGUAGAGGUGAAAUUCGUAGAUAUUGGGAAGAACACCGAUGGCGAAGGCAGCCAUCUGGACCGACACUGACGCUGAGGCGCGAAAGCGUGGGGAGCAAACAGGAUUAGAUACCCUGGUA